GUUCACUUUGGCAGAACAUAUACUAAAAUUGGAAUGAUACAGAGAUUAGCAUGGCCCCUAGGCAAGGAUGACACGCAAAUUCAUGAAGCAUUCCAUAUUUUA
ensembl:snRNA U6 U6 spliceosomal RNA